UACGAAGGGUGCAAGCGUUACUCGGAAUUACUGGGCGUAAAGCGUGCGUAGGUGGUUUGUUAAGUCUGUUGUGAAAGCCCCGGGCUCAACCUGGGAAUGGCAAUGGAUACUGGCAAGCUAGAGUGCGGUAGAGGGUAGUGGAAUUCCCGGUGUAGCGGUGAAAUGCGUAGAGAUCGGGAGGAACACCAGUGGCGAAGGCGACUUACUGGACACAUAUUGACGUUGAGGUGCGAAAGCGUGGGGAGCAAACAGG
rnacentral:rRNA from 1 species